GCUGGAAGCCUUUAGAUUUGACCCAGAAUUUGAAUUUGGCAUUAUCCGUGGAGCUCGACUCGGAGCCGUUCAGGAGCUGGACGAUCCGGUCGUAUUUUUUACGGGUCACCGUCUUGGUUUUUCCUGAGUCCCCGAGGCGAAACGGGGCUGGUGGAGGUUCCUCUUAUCCUUCCACGGUACGUGAUCAGUCUCUUUAAUAAUUGUGCAAGGCAGGACUAUCCCACUGGCUCCAGCAGCGUCCUACCCGGAGAGGGUUCGGGUGGAUAAAUAAUUAAAAUUCUAUCCCUCGGCUUAGCGAAGAGAAAAGAAAAUAUCGACUCGGAUCCUUCUUCUUUUCCAUACAUCAGCUGCACACGGAUUCACCCUGGAUAGUGCAGAAACACCGCCGCAAACACAGGCGAAGCUGGGAGAAGACUGUUGUUUAAAAGCAGCGCGCUGAAGGAUGCUUGUGUUGCCAAAACCUCUCCUGGCAUCUGUAAAAUCGGAGAGGACAAGCCGGCACAAUGGGCGGAGAAAAGUAGGACUUAGAGAUAACCCAAGGAGGCCUGAGACUUUUUGUUGGCCUCAGGGCUCAUAAAUUAUCUUGGCAGCCCCGUUUUAGUGUUGGAGGCGCGUGGGACUCCCGUCCGUCACAGGAUCUGGAGGAGAGGCAGUAACAAAGGAACUGCUGUGCAGAAGGGAAACGAGGGGAACCUCGCUGAACCCUCACCCAGCAGGCUUUAUGAGAUGUAACAUUACUUUAAUGUGGCGUUAUAUCUACAUUUAGAAAAAGGGUCAUCACACAGAUUGGGCUGCACUGCUAAACAAUUCUGUCAGAUAAUUGUUCUCAAACCCACCUCCUGCUGAGGGUCUCGGUAACUUCCAUAUCACACUGAUACUGCGCUCUGCCUGAAUCCAAAGUAAGCUCACAAAGCAAGGGGGAGAAAGGAAGAUGCAACGUAGUGGGGAGUGGUGGUCUGGACAGUUAGAGCAUGGGUGAGUGAAAUGCUUGAAAUAGGCAGGAGUGCUUUAGUAUAUCAGAAAAUAAUUCCAUAUCCAGGAGUACCACUUUGGAUCACGUAAAGAGCCAUAUGCCUUCUCAGCAGACACAAAUUCCUAAAUUCAGUUGCGUUUCGACCAUGCCUUAAAGAAACCAGAAAUAUUCAUUAUUUUUUCAAACUGAUUAAUGACAGGAGAGAGAACAAACAAAAGCGGAUGAAAACCAACUGUGGUUUGGAGUGGGGAUGGAGAGCAGAAACUUGCAUAAUAUUUAACUCAGCUGGAUUUGUUCCUUUGUUUUACAGUGAGGAUUUUUGAUUUGCAUUGGUGAAAGGUACGGACGUUUUAUUACUGCUUCCAUUAAUCCCUUGGCUGGAAGUCCUAGGAGCAUCCUGGAAACCCACCGUGCCAGGCAAUGGAUCAGCAAAGGACACAAACAUGAUGCUUACCAUGAAGAAUUUGUGAACUAAAUAUGUUCAAUUGCACGGCACAUGACUUCGCUUUUACAUAAAUGUACAGUGUAGACUAUAUCCGCAUAACCUGUGCUCAUUACAUAUGUCCAUAUAUCUAUAGUAAUUUCAGCAGAAUUUGUAUGGUGAAUUUAUAAUGCGGAUUUUUAAUCCCCAGUUUUUAAGUCACCUGAGACUCUGAAAUUAGUGCCGUAAGAUUAUAGUUAGAUAAGGAAAAUUGCAUGAGGUUAGGUUCACCAUUGUGGGUUUUUUUUGGUAUCAGAAUUAAGAGGGUUUAAUAGCACAGACCGGAAUCUCCUUGAAAUGAAAGGGGCUUACACAGACCCUCCUUCUGUCAAGACUUCUAGUGACACCCGUUACUCAGCUGAACUUGAAGAAACCCCCUUAGCAUCCUUGGGGAAAGGGGCUGCGUUGGUCCCUCGAUGCCAUGGACGGAGGCUCUUCUGCAGAACACACUUGCCUUUGUCAGAAAAUGAGAGUUUCUGUCCUCUGGUUUGGAGACAGCCAAAUCUGUGCCUUGCUGGGUUGUUUGCUGCCCCGUCAGCCCAAAACAAUACAACACCAACAGAUGUGUGAACUUUUCCGUUCAGUGUAAUGAAGUGUUAGUGGCAAAACAGAGUUUUGGCAAUUUAAAUUGCCUCAUGUGCAUCAGGCUGUGAAAGAGGUUUAAAAUAAAUCAUGAAUACGUUGUAAAUAUUGUAUUUUUGGAAUUAUCAGCUUUAACAAGUCCACUGGCAAUAGAAAGUGAAGACUUAGGCAGAACGGGGCCUGAUGUCUCUCAUUAAAGUCACCAGUGUUUCUAGACAAAAUUAGCGUUGUGGUGAUGUAGCGCUGAGUCCAUAGAAAAAGCUGAGAAGACACUUUCAAGUUUUUAGAACUAGCUGAAAAAAAGUGAAGGCUUUUGGCUGAAAUCUAUCAUCCAACUUCUGCCAAAGAGGAGUGUUUAGAAAACAUGCCCCGUCAUAUUUCAGCACAGUGCUUGAUAGGGAGUUAUUGGAUGGUUAAGGGUAGCCUUUAAGGGUAAGAGUUUUCUGUCUCUUUUGUGGUUUUGUUCACUGACAUAGUUAGAAAAAUUAUUUUGACACUUCUAACUUGCGAUGCGCGUGAGUUAUGAUGGAAAGUCCACUUUCUGUGCAGACUGAAAAUCUUCCUUGCUGAACUGAGAGAAGAUCAUAGAAUCAUAGAAUUGCCUGGGUUGGAAGGGACCUUUCAGAUCAUUAAGUCCAACCAUCAACCUAACUCUGACAAAAACCAUCACUAAACCAUAUCUCUACGCACUAUGUCUACCCGUCUUUUAGGGGAUGGUGCCUCAACCACUUCCCCGGGCAGCCUGUUCCAAUGCUUAAUAACCCUUUAGGUGUAAAAAUUCUCCCUAAUACGUAGUCUAAACCUCCCCUGGCGCAACUUGAGGCCAUUUCCUCUUGUCCUAUCACCUGUUACUUGGGAGAAGAGACCAACGCCCAUCUCUCUACAACCUCCUUUCAGGUAGUUGUAGAGAGCGAUAAGGUCUCCCCCCUCAGCCUCCUUUUCUCCAGGCUGAACAACCCCAGCUCCCUCAGCCGCUCCUCAUAAGACUUGUUUUCCAGACCCUUCACCAAGUUCGUUGCCCUUCUCUGGACCUGCUGCAGCACUUCAAUGUCUUGAGACGCACUGAGGAAUAAAGAAACCGCAGCUCUGAGUGAUUUACUUUAAACUGCACACCUGCUAGCACUUUUCCUCUUUUCUGGAGAGAAUUUCAGUGGAAGUCUAUUGUUGUUCCUUAUAGCCCGGUGAUGGCAGCACCGAUGAGCGCUGUGGAGGUAGAGGUCAGUGUUCACGCACCGCAUGGGCUUGUCUCUGCUGUCUUCCUUUGGUCUCAGGUACGUGACAAAAUCCCCCGAGGGGUUGAAUAAUCAGUCACCUUGGGGCGGUAGGACUCGGCUGUGACACAGCUUCUGCAAGGAGAAAAUAGUCACCGUUCCACCUACUAAUAUUACCUGGCAAAGAACCGCUCUAGAAAGUUGUUCUUAAUCAUAGCUCCAAGGCGUUUGCUGCUUAGGAGAUCAGAAACGAGAGAGGUGGAUACCUGGUGGUAUUAAUGUAUGAAAAGUGCAAGCAAAUGAAUGCCUUCUGGGUUUUGAUUUAUCUACCGAGUGAGCUAACAUGAAGCAAAGCCUAAGCUAUUCAUUAUUGUUGAAUAUAAACAUUUCCUACAAAUUCUUUUUUGUUUCCAAUUCCAAUACUCCUCUCUACGUUUUUUCAGUAGGUUUUGGUCAGUUACUGCUGACUUUGGAAAAUUAAGAGGAGGUAGACCAAGGCAAUGACUUGGAGAUGGGUUAUAAGAACAAUUAUAAGAUUGCUAAAUCUUUGGCGGAAAGCGGCUGUUUGUUCCUGGAUUUAUAAAGAAACAGGAGAAUGGUGCCCUCAUUCUCGUUAGGAUCUUUUCAUGUAGAGUGAUGUUGAUGAUGCUGAUGAGAACAAUAUUGGGAUAUAUUCCGUCUUUGCCUUUUAACAAUCUUCUUUGGAGACAUUUGGAAUCUCUUAUGGAAAAUACACAAACUCACUUUCCCUUGCUGCAGUUAGAAAAAUUCAGACUCGGCUUUAUUCUACAAAGCUGCUUUGCUUUAAGUAGCAGUUCUGCAAAACAUAACUUCACAUAUUUCUUUUACCCUAUGCUUUAUUACUGAGAAUAUCUGCAUGAAAACAGGGUCUUUGUUUAAAAGUUCCUGCUUCUUAUUCAUCACAGCUCGUUGGUUGGAAGCAAUUAUGGUACCCUCUGCAGAAGGCUCCGAUCCCUUCAGAGCAGGAAAAUAUAAGCAGGAAUAGACAAACUUUUAAGAAUCUGAGCUCUUGUUUUCAUGCAAAUGUCCUCAUUUCCUUAGUAAUAAAGAAAGGAAAAGGGAGUAAAUAUGAGACACAGAGUGGAAAAAAAAGAAAGUUUCAAAUGUGUUAGGUUUGUAUGUGGACAUAAAAUGUUUUUUAAUGUUAUAAUGAUGCCUUACAUUCAACUUUGAUUGCUUUUACCGUGGAAGAGAAGGUGUGCACACAGGAUUUUAUACUUUUUGUGUGUGUGUGUAGGAUUUUUUUAUUCUUUCUACAAGUAAUGCACCUUUCUCAGCUAAAGCAACACCAGCCUGAACCAGCUACUGGAAUAUCACCCAGUGCAUUGUCUAAACCAAGCCAGAACUAAUAAGGCAGUGCUGAAAAUGCUAGCAGCCUAUCUCUGUUAGCGUUCCCAACUUCAUUGCCAUGGAGGAAGAUGUGAUAAUUGGAAGUUUUUCCAGAAAGUUCCAGAUAUGUCUCCACAGCCGUCAUGUCAGGCACUAGUAGACAAAGCCAAUAGUGGAGCGGAGUGUGGUUAACCAGCUGGCACCGUCCUCCUUACAACAGGAGCAAUCUGUGGAGGAAGGAAAAAAUAAGAGACUUGCUCAAUCUGAAACAUUUGGAAAAAUACAACAUUAAUCCCUCCCUGGUAUAAAGUACCAUCCAAAUUUUACUUUUGCGCCAGCAGCAUCGAGUCCUCCUGCCACUUCACAACAUUAGAGAUUGCUAGCUGAAGACCAAAACAGAAGAAAUGAGUGUCACCUCUUGUUGCAGGUAUUACUUCCUUCACUAUUUUAUGGGCUUCAGGUCCUUUAACCUAAUUGAUCUUACUUCGCAGGUGAAAUUUGCUCAAAGGCCUUCCCAAAUUUUUGCUGCUGUAGUUUUACUAUAAGUUAGCCAUGCUCCUUAAAUGAAAACACCGUGCACGUUUUGCGGUUGUAUGUGUAGGGUCCCAGAACCCUCACUAAAAAAGUGCCCUUUCAGAAACUGUCAUUACUGGUAGCUUUUGACUUGAUGACAUUUAUGCGCUGU